rnacentral:rRNA from 1 species
AGGUGCAAUCAUACCAAUGUUAAUGCACUGGAUCCCAUUGGAACUCCACAAUUAAACGCGCUUGGGCUAGAGUAGUACUGGGAUGGGUGACCUCCCAGGAAUUCCUAGUGUUGCACCCU